CACAGGAGAAAGUUUGGGGACCCCUGAUCUACCUCACAGGUUUGGUGGAACAGACUGUGGUUUCCCAGUCUCCCAGGAGCAAUUGGGACAGUUUGUGACAGAGACUAACAACAUUCAAUGUGGAGAUGAACACCUUCAGGCACAUUUUGAGAACCUCCAGAGACAGUGUGGCCUAGCACAUCCACAGAGCUGGGAAUCAUGUGUCGAAAACUAUAUCAAACUGAAAAACAUGGCGGACUUAUAAACAAACAAGAAUCCAAAUUUGAAGGUCGCACACAAACACUAAACAGUGUCAUAACUGAACAGGUUUGACAAGUUAAAUAGUUAGCAUUUUGUUUUGUUGUUAUGCAUUUGACCUUAAUAAAGCCCAAACCCAGGGGA